rnacentral:rRNA from 1 species
UAGAAGCAGCCAUCAUUUAAAGAAAGCGUAAUAGCUCACUGGUCGAGUCGGCCUGCGCGGAAGAUGUAACGGGGCUAAACCAUGCACCGAAGCUGCGGCAGCGACGCUUAUGCGUUGUUGGGUAGGGGAGCGUUCUGUAAGCCUGUGAAGGUGUGCUGUGAGGUAUGCUGGAGGUAUCAGAAGUGCGAAUGCUGACAUAAGUAACGAUAAAGCGGGUGAAAAGCCCGCUCGCCGGAAGACCAAGGGUUCCUGUCCAACGUUAAUCGGGGCAGGGUGAGUCGACCCCUAAGGCGAGGCCGAAAGGCGUAGUCGAUGGGAAACAGGUUAAUAUUCCUGUACUUGGUGUUACUGCGAAGGGGGGACGGAGAAGGCUAUGUUGGCCGGGCGACGGUUGUCCCGGUUUAAGCGUGUAGGCUGGUUUUCCAGGCAAAUCCGGAAAAUCAAGGCCGAGGCGUGAUGACGAGGCACUACGGUGCUGAAGCAACAAAUGCCCUGCUUCCAGGAAAAGCCUCUAAGCAUCAGGUAACAUCAAAUCGUACCCCAAACCGACACAGGUGGUCAGGUAGAGAAUACCAAGGCGCUUGAGAGAACUCGGGUGAAGGAACUAGGCAAAAUGGUGCCGUAACUUCGGGAGAAGGCACGCUGAUACGUAGGUGAAGCGACUUGCUCGUGGAGCUGAAAUCAGUCGAAGAUACCAGCUGGCUGCAACUGUUUAUUAAAAACACAGCACUGUGCAAACACGAAAGUGGACGUAUACGGUGUGACGCCUGCCCGGUGCCGGAAGGUUAAUUGAUGGGGUUAGCGCAAGCGAAGCUCUUGAUCGAAGCCCCGGUAAACGGCGGCCGUAACUAUAACGGUCCUAAGGUAGCGAAAUUCCUUGUCGGGUAAGUUCCGACCUGCACGAAUGGCGUAAUGAUGGCCAGGCUGUCUCCACCCGAGACUCAGUGAAAUUGAACUCGCUGUGAAGAUGCAGUGUACCCGCGGCAAGACGGAAAGACCCCGUGAACCUUUACUAUAGCUUGACACUGAACAUUGAGCCUUGAUGUGUAGGAUAGGUGGGAGGCUUUGAAGUGUGGACGCCAGUCUGCAUGGAGCCGACCUUGAAAUACCACCCUUUAAUGUUUGAUGUUCUAACGUGGACCCGUGAUCCGGGUUGCGGACAGUGUCUGGUGGGUAGUUUGACUGGGGCGGUCUCCUCCUAAAGAGUAACGGAGGAGCACGAAGGUUGGCUAAUCCUGGUCGGACAUCAGGAGGUUAGUGCAAUGGCAUAAGCCAGCUUGACUGCGAGCGUGACGGCGCGAGCAGGUGCGAAAGCAGGUCAUAGUGAUCCGGUGGUUCUGAAUGGAAGGGCCAUCGCUCAACGGAUAAAAGGUACUCCGGGGAUAACAGGCUGAUACCGCCCAAGAGUUCAUAUCGACGGCGGUGUUUGGCACCUCGAUGUCGGCUCAUCACAUCCUGGGGCUGAAGUAGGUCCCAAGGGUAUGGCUGUUCGCCAUUUAAAGUGGUACGCGAGCUGGGUUUAGAACGUCGUGAGACAGUUCGGUCCCUAUCUGCCGUGGGCGCUGGAGAACUGAGGGGGGCUGCUCCUAGUACGAGAGGACCGGAGUGGACGCAUCACUGGUGUUCGGGUUGUCAUGCCAAUGGCACUGCCCGGUAGCUAAAUGCGGAAGAGAUAAGUGCUGAAAGCAUCUAAGCACGAAACUUGCCCCGAGAUGAGUUCUCCCUGACCCUUUAAGGGUCCUGAAGGAACGUUGAAGACGACGACGUUGAUAGGCCGGGUGUGUAA